ensembl:lncRNA
CUGUAUUUCAGCCCCCCUGUAAACUUAAUUGGGUUCUGUAAUAAGGUGUUGAAGCAUUAACAAUAUUUUCAAGAUUGCAUGUGUAUAUAAUGGGAAAAAAUGUAAUCUUAUACUUUGUUACGCAUGAAAGGAGCAUAGGUGGGCAGGGCCUCUUGUCUGUUGCAGCCAGGACUCCUCCACAGGUGUUGCAGUUGGAAAGUGCGGUGCAGUCCAGCAGAGGUUUGUGCAAAUAAACCGGUGGUUCUCCAGCUCCUGGCUGGUGAGUCUCAGACAGGUAUAGACCUGCCAGGCAAACUCUGCAUGCUGGGUGGAGAUAUUUGUCAGGAAAUACAGGGUGUUGUCCUUGAUGCCGAAAAAGAGAACACUGCCUGUUUUCAGGUGCCUGGCUAUGCCCCCAUUUUCCACCAGUGUGAAUUGGAGAGACAGGGAAUGGACACACUAGUAAGGACCUAGUGGCUGUUCAUUCAUAAAAAUGAAACAGGGGAAUUCCUCAAAAACUGAACUGUGAACAGUUUGGAGGCUCACUCUUCUUUUCCUGUGUCCAGAGCAGAUUCUUCUAUUUAACUGAGUUGGUAGAUUGCAUAAAAAAAAAGAAGAAAUCCCAGCUUUCCUCUCUAUAUCAUACAAUUCACAAAAUAUCAGUACAUGCUCCACCAUUUCCUACACUAUACACUCAGACCAUGUGGCAUUCAAAGCUCUGUAUCCUUAACAUAUUCCACACCACUUCCUCUCUCCUGUAUCCCAUGUUCCCCAAAUUUAGCUUUACUACCCAGUGCACUCAAUCCAAUUGUCUACCCAAAGCUGAUCUUCAGGGUCUCUUUUAUCCUUCUCUUGACAAGGCUUGAUUGGAGGCCACCCAGAAGCCAAACAAGCAAACUUUUAAAGAAUUUUAAAAGAGCAUAAGGCAUUGAAAUGAGCAAAGUCUAUGGUUUGAACAGACUGCACCCCUGUUGAGAGUGACAACGAGUUGGUGGCAAAGAUACAACUGAGCGACAACUUCAAGAAAAUAAAGAUAUUGAAAAAACAUUUGAAUGAGGCCACCGACAGAAAUAAACCAAUGGCAGAAGAGAUACAGAAAACUUAAUGUCAAGCUACAGGAAUGCCUGAUGUCCAAACUGAAACCCAUGUUAGCACCCAGUACCUUGGUACAGCCCAGCCCCUUGGACCAGCCGGGAGAGACCACAUGGACACACCCAGAACUGACCACAUGGGAGAGACCAGGGUGAUCAGCAUCGGCAGCACAGAGAAACAGCUGUCUCCCUCACUGGAAUACCAGAG